UCCGAGUUGGUCUAGUGGUCAUGAUUUCCGCUUGUCACUAAUCAUAAUAGUACGAGCGCGGGAGACCGGGGUUCGAUUCCCCGACUCGGAG